rnacentral:rRNA from 1 species
ACGGAAGGCAGCAGUGGGGGAUAUUGCACAAUGGGGGAAACCCUGAUGCAGCGACGCCGCGUGAGUGAUGAAGUAUUUCGGUAUGUAAAGCUCUAUCAGCAGGGAAGAUAAUGACGGUACCUGACUCAGAAGCACCGGCUAAAUACGUGCCAGCAGCCGCGGUAAUACGUAUGGUGCAAGCGUUAUCCGGAUUUACUGGGUGUAAAGGGAGCGUAGACGGCAAGGCAAGCCAGCGGUGAAAGGCUGGGGCUCAACCCCGGGAGUGCAUUUGGAACUGUCUAGCUAGAGUAUCGGAGAGGUAAGUGGAAUUCCUAGUGUAGCGGUGAAAUGCGUAGAUAUUAGGAGGAACACCAGUGGAGAAGGCGGCUUACUGGACGAUAACUGACGUUGAGGCUCGAAAGCGUGGGGAGCAAACAGGAUUAGAUACCCUGGUA